rnacentral:rRNA from 1 species
GCAUACGCCCUGAGGGGGAAAGCGGGGGAUCGCAAGACCUCGCGCGAUUGGAGCGGCCGAUGUCCGAUUAGCUAGUUGGUGGGGUAAAGGCUCACCAAGGCGACGAUCGGUAGCUGGUCUGAGAGGAUGAUCAGCCACACUGGGACUGAGACACGGCCCAGACUCCUACGGGAGGCAGCAGUGGGGAAUUUUGGACAAUGGGCGCGAGCCUGAUCCAGCCAUUCCGCGUGAGUGAAGAAGGCCUUCGGGUUGUAAAGCUCUUUCGGCCGGGAAGAAAUCGCCAUCUCUAACAUAGGUGGUGGAUGACGGUACCGGAAGAAGAAGCACCGGCUAACUACGUGCCAGCAGCCGCGGUAAUACGUAGGGUGCGAGCGUUAAUCGGAAUUACUGGGCGUAAAGCGUGCGCAGGCGGCGCAUUAAGACAGGUGUGAAAUCCCCGGGCUCAACCUGGGAAUUGCGCUUGUGACUGAUGUGCUCGAGUUCGGCAGAGGGGGGUGGAAUUCCACGUGUAGCAGUGAAAUGCGUAGAGAUGUGGAGGAACACCGAUGGCGAAGGCAGCCCCCUGGGUCGCGACUGACGCUCAUGCACGAAAGCGUGGGAGCAAACAGGAUUAGAUACCCUGGUAGUCCACGCCCUAAACGAUGUCGACUAGGUGUUGGGGAAGGAGACUUCCUUAGUACCGUAGCUAACGCGUGAAGUCGACCGCCUGGGGAGUACGGUCGCAAGAUUAAAACUCAAAGGAAUUGACGGGGACCCGCACAAGCGGUGGAUGAUGUGGAUUAAUUCGAUGCAACGCGAAAAACCUUACCUACCCUUGACAUGCCAGGAACCUUGGUGAGAGCCAAGGGUGCCCGAAAGGGAGCCUGGACACAGGUGCUGCAUGGCUGUCGUCAGCUCGUGUCGUGAGAUGUUGGGUUAAGUCCCGCAACGAGCGCAACCCUUGUCACUAAUUGCCAUCAUUGAGUUGGGCACUUUAGUGAGACUGCCGGUGACAAACCGGAGGAAGGUGGGGAUGACGUCAAGUCCUCAUGGCCCUUAUGGGUAGGGCUUCACACGUCAUACAAUGGUCGGUACAGAGGGUUGCCAAGCCGCGAGGUGGAGCCAAUCCCAGAAAGCCGAUCGUAGUCCGGAUCGCAGUCUGCAACUCGACUGCGUGAAGUCGGAAUCGCUAGUAAUCGCGGAUCAGCAUGUCGCGGUGAAUACGUUCCCGGGUCUUGUACACACCGCCCGUCACACCAUGGGAGUGGGGUUCACCAGAAGUAGGUAGCUUAACCGCAAGGAGGGCGCUUACCACGGUGAGCUUCAUGACUGGGGUGAAGUCGUAACAAGGUA